rnacentral:rRNA from 1 species
CAAAAGAAGCAGAGGGGGCUUAGUGGUGGGGUGACUGCGUACCUUUUGUAUAAUGGGUCAGCGACUUAUAUUCUGUAGCAAGGUUAACCGAAUAGGGGAGCCGGAGGGAAACCGAGUCUUAACCGGGCGUUAAGUUGCAGGGUAUAGACCCGAAACCCGGUGAUCUAGCCAUGGGCAGGUUGAAGGUUGGGUAACACUAACUGGAGGACCGAACCGACUAAUGUUGAAAAAUUAGCGGAUGACCUGUGGCUGGGGGUGAAAGGCCAAUCAAACCGGGAGAUAGCUGGUUCUCCCCGAAAGCUAUUUAGGUAGCGCCUCGUGAAUUCAUCUCCGGGGGUAGAGCACUGUUUCGGCUAGGGGGCCAUCCCGGCUUACCAACCCGAUGCAAACUGCGAAUACCGGAGAAUGUUAUCACGGGAGACACACGGCGGGUGCUAACGUCCGUCGUGAAGAGGGAAACAACCCAGACCGCCAGCUAAGGUCCCAAAGUCAUGGUUAAGUGGGAAACGAUGUGGGAAGGCCCAGACAGCCAGGAUGUUGGCUUAGAAGCAGCCAUCAUUUAAAGAAAGCGUAAUAGCUCACUGGUCGAGUCGGCCUGCGCGGAAGAUGUAACGGGGCUAAACCAUG